AGGGUUUGCUUAGAGCAGGGCGGUUGAAGAGUGGCUCCUCUGUUUACAAUACACCAAACAGGAAUCUGGGGUCAUUGUGACAAGGGGCACAAAACUUGUGUCCUCCCUACAUGUGGGAAAAAAAAAAAAGA
ensembl:snoRNA